rnacentral:rRNA from 1 species
AUAGCGUAUAUUAAAGUUGUUGCAGUUAAAAAGCUCGUAGUUGAAUUUUGGAUUUGGCUGUUGUUGGUCCGCCGUAUAGGUCUGUACUCUUCUGGCCAAAUCUCUCCUUCUGGAAAACUUUCAAGCCAUUUAUUUGGUUUGUAAGGGCUCCAGGAUUUUUACCUUGAAAAAAUUAGAGUGUUUAAAGCAGGCAUACGCUUGAAUACAUUAGCAUGGAAUAAUAGAAUAGGACUUUGGUUCUAUUUUGUUGGUUUCUAGGACCGAAGUAAUGAUUAAUAGGGACAGUUGGGGGCAUUAGUAUUUAAUUGUCAGAGGUGAAAUUCUUGGAUUUAUGAAAGACUAACUUCUG